AGAACCCCUUGCAACAUUUCCGGUAAGGUGGGUCUCGUGAUGAACUCCCUCAGCUUCCAUUUGUCUGAGAAAGACUUUCUAUCUCCUUCAUUUUGAAGUAUAACUUUACCAGGUUGAAAAGGUACAUGCUGCUUGUUUUAUUUGAAAGACACGCUGUGUAAUCUCACCACAUAUAAGACAUCCUAUAACUAAUCAUCAUUCUCUUCCUGAAAAUCUGAGAAUAUAAGCACCUCCUCCCGGCUCAGAUAACCUCCCAAGCAUGGAGAAUGGCAUAUUUAAGAGCGGUAGCAAGAUGGAGAAAAUACUGACACUGAUACAAUUAAAACACAGAUUACUUGGGAUUGAUUUUCUUCUCAAGAAGCCUCCCAGCGACAGAAAGUAUCUCCUUCAUCACUGACUACAAGCUGCAAAUCUAUUUUCAAUGGUUGCAACUAUAUCCCAAACAAAAUAAAUAUAAU